AGGUGUGAUAAUAACAGCACUAAUGCACCUGAUCGCAUAAGAACUCUGCAGAUAAGCGUACUUGGGCGAAAGUACUACUAGGACGGGUCACCUCUUGUGAAGUCCUCGUGUUGCACCUC
rnacentral:rRNA from 2 species